rnacentral:rRNA from 1 species
AGAUUCUACGGGAGGCAGCAGUAGGGAUCUUCCGCAAUGGACGAAAGUCUGACGGAGCAACGCCGCGUGAGUGAUGAAGGUUUUCGGAUCGUAAAGCUCUGUUGUUAGGGAAGAACAAGUGCGAGAGUAACUGCUCGCACCUUGACGGUACCUAACCAGAAAGCCACGGCUAACUACGUGCCAGCAGCCGCGGUAAUACGUAGGUGGCAAGCGUUGUCCGGAAUUAUUGGGCGUAAAGGGCUCGCAGGCGGUUUCUUAAGUCUGAUGUGAAAGCCCCCGGCUCAACCGGGGAGGGUCAUUGGAAACUGGGAAACUUGAGUGCAGAAGAGGAGAGUGGAAUUCCACGUGUAGCGGUGAAAUGCGUAGAGAUGUGGAGGAACACCAGUGGCGAAGGCGACUCUCUGGUCUGUAACUGACGCUGAGGAGCGAAAGCGUGGGGAGCGAACAGGAUUAGAUACCCUGGUAGUCCACGCCGUAAACGAUGAGUGCUAAGUGUUAGGGGGUUUCCGCCCCUUAGUGCUGCAGCUAACGCAUUAAGCACUCCGCCUGGGGAGUACGGUCGCAAGACUGAAACUCAAAGGAAUUGACGGGGGCCCGCACAAGCGGUGGAGCAUGUGGUUUAAUUCGAAGCAACGCGAAGAACCUUACCAGGUCUUGACAUCCUCUGACAACCCUAGAGAUAGGGCUUUCCCUUCGGGGACAGAGUGACAGGUGGUGCAUGGUUGUCGUCAGCUCGUGUCGUGAGAUGUUGGGUUAAGUCCCGCAACGAGCGCAACCCUUGAUCUUAGUUGCCAGCAUUCAGUUGGGCACUCUAAGGUGACUGCCGGUGACAAACCGGAGGAAGGUGGGGAUGACGUCAAAUCAUCAUGCCCCUUAUGACCUGGGCUACACACGUGCUACAAUGGACAGAACAAAGGGCUGCAAGACCGCAAGGUUUAGCCAAUCCCAUAAAUCUGUUCUCAGUUCGGAUCGCAGUCUGCAACUCGACUGCGUGAAGCUGGAAUCGCUAGUAAUCGCGGAUCAGCAUGCCGCGGUGAAUACGUUCCCGGGCCUUGUACACACCGCCCGUCACACCACGAGAGUUUGCAACACCCGAAGUCGGUGAGGUAACCUUUAUGGAGCCAGCCGCCGAAGGUGGCCG